rfam:Parcubacteria (Kaiserbacteria) bacterium GW2011_GWA2_49_19 TY44_C0012, whole genome shotgun sequence.
GACCUAACCCAUCGGCAGCGAUGGCACGGUCGUGGAAGACCUAUCAAGCAUGGAGAACCCGUCAUGGGAUUGCUUGAUAGGCCGUAUGGGGAAACUCAUACGCUCGGCGUAAGCCGGG